UACGUAGGCAGCGAGCGUUGUUCGGAGUUACUGGGCGUAAAGAGUGCGUAGGCGGUUUUCUAAGUUUGGUGUGAAAUCUCCCGGCUUAACUGGGAGGGUGCGCCGAAAACUGGAAGGCUUGAGUAUGGGAGAGGUAAGCGGAAUUCCUGGUGUAGCGGUGAAAUGCGUAGAUAUCUGGAGGAAUACCGAUGGCGAAGGCAGCCAUCUGGCCUAACACUGACGCUGAGGUGCGAAAGCAUGGGGAGCAAACAGG
rnacentral:rRNA from 1 species